rnacentral:lncRNA from 1 species
AUUUUUAGUAGAGAUGGACUUUCACUAUGUUGGCCAGGCUGGUCUCGAACUCCUGGCCUCAAGUGAUCAGCCUGCCUCUGCCUCCCAAAAUGCUGGGAUUACAGUCAUAAGCCACUGCACCCAACCUCUCCCUGUUAAUUUAGAACAGAUACUGGAUCCUUGUCAAAGCCAAGGUCAGAGAUGAGAAGAGAGCAACUCUGUAUUGGAGGAUUAUUGAGUGAGUUUGCUGUACAGGUGGCCAGGACUCAAGGAGGGGCUAAUGCCCACAAACACGUGGCCUAUCUGUGGGCAAAGAGCCUGGGAGGAGAAGCUGCAGUUAGACUACUUACCAAGCUGGGACUCCUGGAAGCUUCCGUUGACCAUGCUGCAGACAAUUGCUCCUUUGAAUUUGCUUUUGAACUCUCUCGGCUGGCCCUCAAGCACAAAACCCCCGAGAUCCAUCUCAAAUACGCCAUGUACCUGGAGGAUGAGGGUAAAUUGGAAGAGGCUGAAGCUGAAUUCAUCAGAGCUGGUAAACCCAAGGAAGCAGUCCUCAUGAGGCUGGAUUAUGGAGUGACGCACUGCGGAUCUGCAAGGACUAUGUGCCCGGCCAGCUGGAGGCUCUGCAGGAGGAGUAUGAGCGGGAAGCUACUAAGAAGGGGGCCAGGUAUGAGGCCAGAGGUCCAGCAGCAGUGGGAGGGCUGGGAGGGUCAUGAGGCGUGCACAGGGUAGAGCACACUGCCCCCCACCCCGUGCCUAGUCCCAGUGCUCUAAUCUCCACAGGGGUGUGGAGGGACUCGUGGAACAAGCUCGACACUGGGAGCAGGCUGGAGAGUACAGUCGCGCCGUGGACUGCUACCUCCGAGUGCGAGACUCUGGAAACAGCGGCCUGAUGGAGAAGUGCUGGAUGAAGGUGAGGGCAGCAGGCUCUUUCUGGCCCUCCUCCUUCCUAGGCCUCCAUUCACACUCAGCUUCCCUUCUCACAUCUGCAGCUGUCUCCUCUGUGUCUUUUCCUUUUCAGUCAGGUAGCAGGAAUCUGUAGAGCUCCUGCUGGAUGGCAGAGCCAGAACCUCUGAAGGCUGUUAGGCAGACAUAAGACAGAGCCCUGACAGCUCAAAGUUAGGGGAGCUGGACUAACAUGGCUCAGUUAAUAUCGUAUCAGAGUAAAGACUAAAUUGCUUGACUUAGAAUUCAGAGAACAGUGAGAUCUGUGUGGACUAGAAGAGUCAGGAAGGCUCUGUGAAGAAGGAGGGAGGACUUGGACAGGAGCUCCAGGCACAGGAACUGGCCUGACAGGGACCAUGACAAAGGCUGGGCUCCGCCUCCCCCUCACUAAUUCCUGAAAAGAAGCCUCCAGCAAAUGAAGCCAGGCCGGUAUGUGUCACAAAUAAUAAGACAUACUGUAUUAGAG